rnacentral:rRNA from 1 species
GACGAACGCUGGCGGCGUGCUUAACACAUGCAAGUCGAACGAUGAAGCUGGAGCUUGCUCUGGCGGAUUAGUGGCGAACGGGUGAGUAACACGUGAGAAAUCUGCCCUUGACUCUGGGAUAACUGCGGGAAACUGUAGCUAAUACCGGAUACUUUCCCUGGUGGGCAUCCACUGGGGAAGAAAGAAUUUCGGUCUAGGAUGAUCUCGCGGCCUAUCAGCUUGUUGGUGAGGUAAUGGCUCACCAAGGCGACGACGGGUAGCCGGCCUGAGAGGGUGACCGGCCACACUGGGACUGAGACAUGGCCCAGACUCCUACGGGAGGCAGCAGUGGGGAAUAUUGCACGAUGGGCGCAAGCCUGAUGCAGCAACGCCGCGUGAGGGAUGAAGGCCUUCGGGUUGUAAACCUCUUUUAGCAGGGAAGAAGCGAAAGUGACGGUACCUGCAGAAAAAGCACCGGCUAACUACGUGCCAGCAGCCGCGUAA